CAGGGCAGCUUGUUGCAUGACCAGCUUCUGGAUAAACUAACUUCAGUUUGGCGUCAAAAUCUCAACCAGUUGCCUGACAAACUGUGUUUCUCGUGUACAGACGAGAAUGUUCACUUCGGUUGAAUAUCAAGCCUUAACUGCCUUGUCUUAACGAGUCCUUUACGGCAUUUUCCUUCGAGCUCUUGUGCUGUCGCGUGAUUUGUGGUCAAGAAACAGCAGCGGCAUGUCUUGGUGACCAGGUCCUGGACAGAAGAAAGUGCCUUCUCUGAUGACGUCCCUACUUGAAGCUGCUUACCACUCACAUCCUACACUGUAAACCACACUGGCUUGGCCUCCAAUGUGUCUGGCCCUACGUAUUUUUCACGCGAAGACUGAGUGCAAGAGACCACAGUUAAAUAUAUCUGACUUGCCAAAGCACAAGGAAACAACACUCUUCAUCCAUUCACAAACGGCAGAGCCAUUGCCUUUAAGUAGCGUUAUCCACAACAAUGGACCCAUCAUAAAGGACAUUUGAAGACAAAGACAUCAGUUCUACGGAUGUCCUCAAGCAUGGUUGCGCCAGUGUUUUGCACAUGGGACUAAAUGACUGAUAAAUAACUUGGCAGAGAUUGACAGCUUCACUGACAGCAGCCAUCUCCCAUGCUAUAGCCAAAGGAGGUUUGAAUGUGACAACUCUUAUUAAAGGUCCCCACCAACAAACUAAAACAACACGCAAUUUGAAUCUGAUGGUCUUUAAAUUAUUUGAGCCUAAAUCAAAACUAUCCCUGACACCUUAUAGCAAAGCAGCCUACAUAUUCUGUUUCAGCUCAGCUCAGCUUUGCUAUGGCUUUAAGCAUUGCUUCGAUACGAGACACAAAAUGGCUCACUCUUGAGGUGUGCCGACAGUUUCAGAGGGGAACGUGCUCGCGUAGUGAUGAAGAAUGCAAAUUCGCACACCCGCCCAAGAGCUGCCAGGUGGAGAAUGGAAGGGUGAUCGCCUGCUUUGACUCACUGAAGGGUCGGUGUACGAGAGAAAACUGUAAGUAUCUUCAUCCACCAGCACAUCUGAAGACACAGCUGGAAAUCAAUGGACGCAACAACCUGAUCCAGCAGAAGACCGCAGCGGCGAUGCUGGCGCAACAGAUGCAGUUCAUGAUCCCCGGCACCACCAUGCAACCAGUGCCUACAUUUUCCGUCAGUCAAGGUCUGUGCUCGAACCCUGGUAUGAGUUACGCGCCGUAUCUGACUCCAAUGAGCCACAGCAUGGGUCUGGUCCCCACAGAAAUGCUCCCCAGCACCCCCGUCAUCAUGCCCAGCAGCCCACCCGUCAGCAUUCAGAGCUCCUCCUCAACGCAGAAACUACUGCGCACAGACAAGCUUGAGGUGUGUCGUGAGUUUCAGCGGGGUAACUGCGCACGCGGUGAGACCGACUGCCGCUUCGCCCACCCUAGUGACAGCCCCAUGAUUGAUACGAGCGACAACACAGUCACCGUGUGCAUGGACUACAUCAAGAGCCGCUGCUCGCGCGAGAAGUGCAAGUACUUCCACCCUCCCGCGCACCUGCAGGCGAAGAUCAAAGUGGCGCAGCAUCAGGCCAAUCAGACAGCCGUCGCAGCGCAAGCGGCCGCUGCAGCCAUGAAUCAGUCGACUGCCAAAGCAAUGAAGCGACCCCUCGAGGCAACUGUAGAUCUGGCGUUUCCACAUGGAGUCCUGCAGCCUCUACCAAAGAGACCAGCACUAGAGAAGAGUAACGGGGCCAGUACGUUCUUCAAUCCCAGUGUCUUGCAUUACCAGCAGGCUCUGGCCAGCGCACAACUACAGCAGCCCACCACCGCAUUUUUUCCCACAGGGUCAGUUUUUUGCAUGGCACCUGCUAGCAGCAUUGUACCCAUGAUGUACAGUGCUACGCCUGCUACUGUCUCUGCAGCAACAACUCCUGCCACAAGUGUCCCCUACGCAACAACAGCACCAGCAAAUCAGGUUUGCUCCUUUUAAAAGCUUUCUUUCAUAAAUCCCUAAGCUCUGAACAAGCACUUUGCCGCAAAUUAAUCAACAGUCUCCAUGGUGAUCCCUCAUUUCAUGUGGUGGUGUGAGCAGUGGCGUAAAUUGUUCUUUGCCACUUAUGUAUCAGAUCAAAGCAAUUUCCAGCAUUUAUCGGAGCGACUGGUGCUUAUUCAGAGCUUGCACAUUGGCAAAUAGUAGUUGUGUUGUGUUGCAUUAUUUUCUUGUUUUGUUCUGCAUGUCAUUGCUUUAUUUUGAUGUCAAGAUAUCCUUCCUCAUCUACAUAUUUUUAUGAAAAACACGUCCAGUGUCAGCUAAAAUUAGACGAACCCCUCACACCGUUCACACACUUAUUUUAGACCUUGCACAUAUAAUAUAAUCUCCUUUUUCUCCAUCUUUGGGUUGGGUUGGGAAAGCAGGACGAAGGUGAGUCACGCUCAAGGAAACUGUCAAUAAAUACGUCAGCGUGGCAGUUAGCGCAGGACAGAACCAAGAAGGACAUUGUGUUGUGGCCUUUCUAGAAAGGGUCUAAAAAUGUCACCCUGUGCCUCAGUACGGCUCAUUCUGUGGCAGAAGGCUGCAGCUGGAAUCUGUGUGAUGUACGCGACCCUCUGAGAGCCCGCAAUUUCAACGUCCGACUCACAAUAGCGGACCAAUCCACCAGUCACAGACGUACUCAUUAACUCCUGUUGUGGAGAUUCAGUUCACAUUUCAACACCAUUUUUACAUCCUAAUUUACAUUUUUGGGGCAAAUUAAAGGAAUUGUUGAUGCAAAAAUGUUGUUCCUAACCUGUAUUACUUUCUUUCGCGUAACACUAAAAGAACAAUUAUGAAGAAUGUCCUGGCUGCUCUUUUCCAUAUGACAAAAGUUAAUUGAAUUGAGAAUGUCAAGCUCUAAAAUGAUUUAAAGUAGUUUGUCUGACUUAUAUGCUAUAGUCUAAUGGCCAAAACAUCUUCGGUUUUCCACGUGCCGCUAAGUUUUUUUAUUCCAGCCAAAAUUUUGGUCUUCUUGUAUUCAUAAUUCGUAUUCAUGACAUAUACAUUUUUGACUGAAAAAGUAAUUUUAGUUGAUGAAAAUAACAUAUUUUAGUUAACAAUAAUGUGCAAAAUGACAAAAACAUGUAUCAAACUGUAACAGACCAAAUAUUUAAAAUACAUGUAUCAAACAUUAAAGAUUCAUAUUUUUAAUAGAAAACAAAAUGAAAACUGUACUGAAAACCUGAGCUCCUAAAAUAAUGGCAUAUAAUGCACUGAAGUAUUAGCUACUUUUUAAAGUUACUCUGUUGUAAAUUCCUCACAUUUAGACAGUUUAGGAAAUUGCGUUACAUACACAAGUUACGCAUUCUGACUAAUGCAAUAGUAUUUUUUGCGUAAUGAUUAUCGCAAUGAUUGGUCUCUUUCUCCUCGAAAAACCCUUCGUCAACUAACAUUUUUGUCUGUAAAUAAGUUGACAUGAUUAACACCGGUUUCACGUGUAGUACGUGACACAGAUUUCGUCAUCAGAGUCACACAGGUUGGGAACAAGAUGAUGAGGGCCUGAAUACACUCUGGAUGAAGGAACUGGGACAUUUAGGGUUAUUUGCAGUCUAAUCACGUGAAAUAUAACCUGUUUCCUGAGUGUUUCUUGCCAUACGGCUGAAGACUCUUUAGCAGCCCCAUCAGGAGUAUGAAGUAUAGCACCUCCUGAAGGAAAGCAGCCUCCAAAUAUAAAACAUAAGCAAAUUUUUUUAACAUUCUAUAUCAGGGCUGUUCAGCAGACGGUCCACAGCAGUACUGCAUGAGGUCUGCCAAUAAUUGUUCAGAAAAAAAUAUGUAUAUAUGUUAUAUAUGGAAAUAUAAGAAAAUACAAAAUUAAAACUAAGGUUAAAAGGUGAAAGUUCAGUAAUUUUUUUUUUACUCUCCCUCCCAAAUUUUAAAUAUAACAUACAAGUAUACAAUGUACAUACCCCAUGUUGAAGUCAAAAUGAAACUGCAUUUACAAGCCAUUUUACUUCUGUACUGUCACAUAUUUCCACAUGAAAUCUUCAUUUUUAUCAUAAUUCAUUUUUAUGAAAUUAUCAUAAUUUAUCUUCAAUGGCAAAGUGUAGGGCGAGACAUGAUUUUAUAUAAAGUGGACAUUUCAUACCAGAAUCGAUGACGGUGGUUAGAGUUGAGAUGUUCAAAUGUCCACGCUAAUCUGUUUUUAUUUGAAAACUCUGUUUCUAGUUUUUUAACAUCAUCGAUUUCCAAAGUUUGCAGUAAUGGGGAGUGUUUUCGAAAUGCCCCAGGAAAACACAGUUCUAGUGUGGAUGAGAGGCGUAAAUGUAGCGAAGUUAAUGCCUUAAGGCCAUGUCCAAACUAAUCUGUUUUCAUUUGAAAAC